UCUUCUUCUGGAAGCUGGUUUCACAUGGUGGCUUAGAUUUUUCCAUCUUUGUAUCUAGCACCAUUUGAAAUCAGUGUUUUAGGAGUAAGA
ensembl:miRNA MIR29B2 microRNA 29b-2